CAGGAUGAACGCUAGCUACAGGCUUAACACAUGCAAGUCGAGGGGAAACGACAUCGAAAGCUUGCUUUUGAUGGGCGUCGACCGGCGCACGGGUGAGUAACGCGUAUCCAACCUGCCCACCACUUGGGGAUAACCUUGCGAAAGUAAGACUAAUACCCAAUGAUAUCUCAAGAAGACAUCUGAAUGAGAUUAAAGAUUUAUCGGUGAUGGAUGGGGAUGCGUCUGAUUAGCUUGUUGGCGGGGUAACGGCCCACCAAGGCGACGAUCAGUAGGGGUUCUGAGAGGAAGGUCCCCCACAUUGGAACUGAGACACGGUCCAAACUCCUACGGGAGGCAGCAGUGAGGAAUAUUGGUCAAUGGGCGAGAGCCUGAACCAGCCAAGUAGCGUGCAGGAUGACGGCCCUAUGGGUUGUAAACUGCUUUUAUAAGGGAAUAAAGUGAGCCUCGUGAGGCUUUUUGCAUGUACCUUAUGAAUAAGGACCGGCUAAUUCCGUGCCAGCAGCCGCGGUAAUACGGAAGGUCCGGGCGUUAUCCGGAUUUAUUGGGUUUAAAGGGAGCGUAGGCCGGAGAUUAAGCGUGUUGUGAAAUGUAGAUGCUCAACAUCUGCACUGCAGCGCGAACUGGUUUCCUUGAGUACGCACAAAGUGAGCGGAAUUCGUGGUGUAGCGGUGAAAUGCUUAGAUAUCACGAAGAACUCCGAUUGCGAAGGCAGCUCACUGGAGCGCAACUGACGCUGAAGCUCGAAAGUGCGGGUAUCGAACAGGAUUAGAUACCCUGGUAGUCCGCACGGUAAACGAUGGAUGCCCGCUGUUGGUCUGAAUAGGUCAGCGGCCAAGCGAAAGCAUUAAGCAUCCCACCUGGGGAGUACGCCGGCAACGGUGAAACUCAAAGGAAUUGACGGA
rnacentral:rRNA from 1 species